GUGGAGUGUGUAUGGAGAUUGUGAGUAGGUCAAUAUGGAAUUGAUCACUCCUAGUAAGAGGAGAUCGCAUCCUGUGUAUUCUCAAUCCUAGAUGACUUGGAAAAAGUCUUUUGGUCAAAAGUAGAAAGGUGAUUAGAAAGAGUUUCUAAUACUUCUUCAUUGGAGUCAUCAUUGGUUAAUUGAGAUCGAUAUGAAUAUAUGUUUGAGUUUGACAUGAUUAUAUAC
rnacentral:lncRNA from 1 species